GGCGGCGUGCCUAAUACGUGCAAGUCGAACGCACUCUCGUUUAGAUUGAAGGAGCUUGCUCCUGAUUGAUAAACAUUUGAGUGAGUGGCGGACGGGUGAGUAACACGUGGGUAACCUGCCCUAAAGUGGGGGAUAACAUUUGGAAACAGAUGCUAAUACCGCAUAAAACCUAACACCGCAUGGUGUAGGGUUGAAAGAUGGUUUCGGCUAUCACUUUGGGAUGGACCCGCGGUGCAUUAGUUAGUUGGUGAGGUAAAGGCUCACCAAGACCGUGAUGCAUAGCCGACCUAAGAGGGUAAUCGGCCACACUGGGACUGAGACACGGCCCAGACUCCUACGGGAGGCAGCAGUAGGGAAUCUUCCACAAUGGACGAAAGUCUGAUGGAGCAACGCCGCGUGAGUGAAGAAGGUUUUCGGAUCGUAAAACUCUGUUGUUGGAGAAGAAUGUAUCUGAUAGUAACUGAUCAGGUAGUGACGGUAUCCAACCAGAAAGCCACGGCUAACUACGUG
rnacentral:rRNA from 1 species